rnacentral:rRNA from 1 species
CCUACGGGUGGCAGCAGUGAGGAAUAUUGGUCAAUGGACGAGAGUCUGAACCAGCCAAGUAGCGUGAAGGAUGACUGCCCUAUGGGUUGUAAACUUCUUUUAUAUGGGAAUAAAAUGUUCCACGUGUGGGAUUUUGUAUGUACCAUAUGAAUACGGAUCGGCUAACUCCGUGCCAGCAGCCGCGGUAAUACGGUGGAUCCGAGCGUUAUCCGGAUUUAUUGGGUUUAAAGGGAGCGUAGGAGGAUUGUUAAGUCAGUUGUGAAAGUGUGCGGCUCAACCGUAAAAUGGCAGUUGAAACUGGGAGUCGAGAGUAGAGUAGAGGGGGGCGGAAUGCGGGGUGUAGCGGUGAAAUGCGUAGAUAUCACGAAGAACUCCGAUGGCGAAGGCAGCUCACUGGACUGCAACUGACACGGAGGCUCGAAAGUGUGGGUAUCAAACAGGAUUAGAUACCCGGGUAGUC